rnacentral:lncRNA from 1 species
CUUUUCCAUGUGCAUUUCUAAAAUUAUUCAGUCCUGUUUGUCUUUUAUGGAGAGGUGCCUGACCCUCUCUUCACGGUUUAAUAAAACAUUUGAAGUCGUCAUGACACCGCAGCCAAACACCGUCAGGAGGGGAGACGAUGGCAGCAUUUCAAUGAGGGAGGAAAUGAGAAACGAGUCCCCAGAGGACACUUCAUAAGGAGCAGCAAACCUGUCUUUUCAAACAUGCUUCUGAAAACGAGGUUGGCUAUUUUUUUUCCAGCUGGGAUAGUUGGUGAAGGGACAGCGGCUGCCAGACCAGAGGCAGCAGGAGGGAGCCAGGGGAGCUGGACCACGUGGAUCCCGGGAAAGGAAUCAUCCUUACCACCCCAGCCUUGGGGGUCGUUAGGAGUUUACCUGGACACAUCCAGCCUGAGCUGGUGUAUCGGCAUCCUCGGAUUCCUGAUGCAGAAGGAGGAGAAUGAGGAGCUAGUCUGGUGAUACAGCCUUGGAAAGGAAACGAGAAGAAAUACACACGGGGAGCAUCUGAGUUCCUGCGCCAAAUGUGAGUCCUAAUUAUCCUGAGAUAACUCUGACAUCUGCCUCCAGGCCCAGCCCCUCCCAACCCCCCAACCACACAGUGCCUUGCACCUCUUAGGCACUUAAUUAAUGAUAGAUAAACGCAGGCGGGGGGUGUGGUGUCUACGAGUGGAAAACAUACGCAUUUUAGAAUCGGAGUGUGUGAGAGGUGGCGGGGACCUUGGAGACCUUCUAAACCUGUUUCCUCAGGGAUGGGGAAACCAAAGCCCAGAGAAAAUGGGGAGAAACCAGCAAGGUCACAUGACUAGUUUCUAACUGAGUUGGGCUUGGAAUCAUGUUUUCUACAUUUUUCUUUAAAUCUCCCACUCUCUUCAGAUCUGAAAGUGUAAGGACAGUACACAGAACCAACUGUGUGCCCUGAACUCAGGAAAGUCACUCUCAGCAGUGGAAGCUCCUGGUGGUAACAGUGGCCCAGGGAGUAGAGGCCCAGUGCCCAGGACAAGCAGAAGGGUCCCCUCCAAGCAACUGCCCUCUGGAUCACGGUCCUGCCUGGGCUGGGGGACCGGGGUCCCAGGGUCCCGGGGAGGUGGCCCAGGCUACAGCAGUCAGACUCCUGCAGCCCUGCGUGAGGUAGAGGAACACAGAGGUCACGAAGGCAGCCCAGUGGGGGUUGUAUUCCCGCCACUGUGACGGGGUGAUGUGGCGGGCCUCAGGGCAUCACGAGAAACAUGUAAACAAAGCCCCCAGCCACUUCUGAGCCUGAAAGCAAGUCAACACAAGUACUGAAAUGAUGAAUCAGCAGGACAAGGCAUGUGGUGCCCGCUCAUUGGUCAGAUGGAAGGAGGGCCAGGUGGGGCGGGGCAGGAAGCAGGAAGAAGAGAAGGGGCAGGGCUGUCACCGCUGACCCAGAG